AUCUGAGGUCUUCUAUAGCUAGACUGAGAACAAACUUGCCUGCACUGCAUAUAUCUGUAGGAACAGUCAGGCUGGAACAACGACAGGAAAUAUCACGGAGAUUCAAACUACUUAGGCUUGGACAAGGAUCCUAUCAAAGCCUUCCUUCCUUUAACAGUGUAUUUGUGGUGAAGAAAGAUCUCCCUUGUGUGGAGUCAUGGAUUUUUCUGAGCUAUGCUUGAACCAUCCUGCUUCUGAUGAAUGUUUUGUAGAGCUGGUCCUUGAUAGGAAUCCCUGAAUGGCUCCAGGCCCUUUCACUUGGAGCAGUACCGCCUCUAGCACUGCUGUGCACAGUUGCAUGUGAUUUUAGAGGAAAUAAAAUCUGUAU
ensembl:lncRNA